ACAGAAAUCUCCUUCUGGUUUCUGCUACACAGAGUCCUGCACAAGCCCGGCUAACACAGAGAAUGCAUGUGGCCACACAUGAAAGCACACCGAAGUUUGAAUUGGACCUUGCUCAUAAUGAAGUUUCGCCAGUGACUUGGUUGUUGAGUCUACAAUUAUGCUGGCAGGCUGUGCUGCCAAAAAGAUGAAAAACAGCCCUGGUCCAUAAAGACACAGAACUAUACAGCUUCCACUGAAAACAUCAACAGAUAAGUUUCCCACCAUCUUCAUGGAUCUUGAUACAGCAUGAAGAGUGUACGAGGAUCAUCACAGCCAGGAACUACAACAGGUUGCCCAGAGAAGAGGUGGAUGUCCUGUCUCUGGCAACAUUCAGGAAGGGCUCUGAGCAACCUGAUCUAGCUGUAGAUGCAAUGCCCCUGUCCAUUGCAGGGGAGUUCGACCAGAAGAUAUUUAAAGGUCCCCUCUCACUCAAACAACUCUAUCAACUAGAAUCCCCUUCACCUUUGGUGAAAACAUCGAAGCAAUUAUCACCUAAAAGUUGCACUGCCCAAGCUAGUCCUACACGUAGUGUUACCUUCCUAUCUAUGAAUCACGGUGUGAAGAUCAUGCUGGACAGAGUAUGGCUCCCGCAAGAAUAUCCAGAGUCACGUGCCUGCUGCGUCAUCAAAGUCAUCCACACACCUUAUAAUCAAAGUGAGCCACAUACUUUGUAUUGUAAACUUCUGCUUACGUUUGCCAGUAACAGAUGCAUAGUUUGCAACUGCCAUCAACUGCAAACCACAACCACUAUUUCAGCAGUUCAGCCACUCACUGAAAGCUAUGAGGUGAUGCUGCCUGCAACUGUGGUCCAGCCUGGUCCUGAUCCUGACAAGGGCUCAUACAGGUACUUGUAUCACUCUGCUCUCAACAGGACUGCAUGCAGCACAACAGCUCAGCCAGAGGACAGCCUCUGAUGGAGCUUGCUACUCAAGCAAGCCAAUUCAUCCCACUGCAUAGUGCCAGCCACAUAAGUAAUGGCAAACUUCUAGCUAAUUCCGAACAAUCAUACAUAAAUAUUCCAGCUAUUAUACUUCUGAUGCUUAAGAAUGUAUUUUUGUUGUAUUUCCUUUUCAGCUGUAAAUGAUCCUUGCUCUAAGGUACACAAGGAUGCAUCCAGCAAUGAAACAGGAUUCUAACUGGAAAGUAUAGUUCUGAAAUCUUUAUGGAGGCAAAAUACUAAUGUUUAUUUCAAUGUCUAAUUAAAAUAGGUGGAAAUUUUGCCAC
rnacentral:lncRNA from 7 species